GGAGGUGUAUUCUAGCCGGUGCUAGGCCCGGUCUUCAAAACCGGUGGAAGGUCGAGAGGUCUUCGGUAGGUUCGACUCCUAUACACCUCCGCCA
rnacentral:tRNA from 1 species